UCGGCAAGCCUGUGACCCCCAUCCAGAAGCCCCUGGUGGACUCU
rnacentral:ribozyme from 1 species